rnacentral:rRNA from 1 species
AUUGAACGCUGGCGGCAUGCCUUACACAUGCAAGUCGAACGGCAGCGGGGACUUCGGUCCGCCGGCGAGUGGCGAACGGGUGAGUAAUGUAUCGGAACGUACCAUUCAGUGGGGGAUAACUAUCCGAAAGGAUAGCUAAUACCGCAUAUUCUGUGAGCAGGAAAGCAGGGGAUCGCAAGACCUUGCGCUGAUUGAGCGGCCGAUAUCAGAUUAGCUAGUUGGUGAGGUAACGGCUCACCAAGGCUACGAUCUGUAGCGGGUCUGAGAGGAUGAUCCGCCACACUGGGACUGAGACACGGCCCAGACUCCUACGGGAGGCACCAGUGGGGAAUUUUGGACAAUGGGCGCAAGCCUGAUCCAGCCAUGCCGCGUGAGUGAAGAAGGCCUUCGGGUUGUAAAGCUCUUUCGGCCGGGAAGAAAUCGCAUCAGCUAAUACCUGGUGUGGAUGACGGUACCGGGAUAAGAAGCACCGGCUAACUACGUGCCAGCCGCCGCCGUAA